rnacentral:rRNA from 1 species
AAAUUGAAGAGUUUGAUCAUGGCUCAGAUUGAACGCUGGCGGCAGGCCUAACACAUGCAAGUCGAACGGUAACAGGAAGCAGCUUGCUGUUUCGCUGACGAGUGGCGGACGGGUGAGUAAUGUCUGGGAAACUGCCUGAUGGAGGGGGAUAACUACUGGAAACGGUAGCUAAUACCGCAUAACGUCGCAAGACCAAAGAGGGGGACCUUCGGGCCUCUUGCCAUCGGAUGUGCCCAGAUGGGAUUAGCUAGUAGGUGGGGUAACGGCUCACCUAGGCGACGAUCCCUAGCUGGUCUGAGAGGAUGACCAGCCACACUGGAACUGAGACACGGUCCAGACUCCUACGGGAGGCAGCAGUGGGGAAU